rnacentral:rRNA from 1 species
UACAGAGGGUGCGAGCGUUAUUCGGAAUUACUGGGCGUAAAGGGCGCGUAGGUGGUUAGGUAAGAUUGAUGUGAAAUCCCUGGGCUUAACCUAGGAAUGGCAUCGAUGACUGGCUAGCUGGAGUACUGUAGAGGGUAGUGGAAUUUCCAGUGUAGCGGUGAAAUGCGUAGAGAUCGGAAGGAACACCAGUGGCGAAGGCGACUAUCUGGACAGAUACUGACACUGAGGCGCGAGAGCGUGGGUAGCAAACAGG